rnacentral:lncRNA from 1 species
AGAUGAAUAUUACUAGUCAGUCAGCAACUGCCUAUAACAGAUGUUUUUGUUGAAUGUGAACAUUAACAGUUCUAUUUGGCCUUUUCAGAAUUUGAAUUAAGAAAUAGAAGACAUAGCCAAGAGUACAUGGAGACCCAGGUGGAAAAAAAGCCCUUGACCAGAGACACAAGAGGAAUAACUUGGUUCAAUUGA